rnacentral:rRNA from 1 species
GAUGAACGCUGGCGGCGUGCCCAAUACAUGCAAGUCGAGCGAACGGACGAGAAGCUUGCUUUUCUGAUGUUAGCGGCGGACGGGUGAGUAACACGUGGAUAACCUACCUAUAAGACUGGGAUAACUUCGGGAAACCGGAGCUAAUACCGGAUAAUAUUUUGAACCGCAUGGUUCAAAAGUGAAAGACGGUCUUGCUGUCACUUAUAGAUGGAUCCGCGCUGCAUUAGCUAGUUGGUAAGGUAACGGCUUACCAAGGCAACGAUGCAUAGCCGACCUGAGAGGGUGAUCGGCCACACUGGAACUGAGACACGGUCCAGACUCCUACGGGAGGCAGCAGUAGGGAAUCUUCCGCAAUGGGCGAAAGCCUGACGGAGCAACGCCGCGUGAGUGAUGAAGGUCUUCGGAUCGUAAAACUCUGUUAUUAGGGAAGAACAUAUGUGUAAGUAACUGUGCACAUCUUGACGGUACCUAAUCAGAAAGCCACGGCUAACUACGUG